UGGGAGCCACAGAAGGCAGGAUCAGUGAUGGUGUCCACCAUGGCCUGGUCCCCUCUCCUCUUCACCCUCCUCACUCACUGCACAGGAUCCUGGGCCAAGUCUGUGCUGACUCAGCCUCCCUUGGUGUCUGGGGCUCUGGGGCAGACCGUCACUAUUUCAUGCACUGUCAACGACUCCAGUUUUUGGGCUGGUGAAUUUAUACACUGGUACCAGCAACUUCCAGGAGCGGCCCCCAAACUUCUCAUCUAUGGUAACAACAAUCGUCCUUCUGGGGUCCCCAGUCGAUUUUCUGGCUCCAAGUCUGGCAACUCCCACUCUCUGACCAUCACUGGGCUCCAGCCUGAAGAUGAGGCUGAUUAUUACUGCCAAUACUUUGAUGACAGAGUCAUUACACAAUGCUGCAGGCUUGUGGGGAAGUGAGACAAAAUCCUGUUGUCCCGACAGCGAUGGACUUACUGUGAGCAGCCCCAAAUCUUCAGCCGACUCAACUGUUCCCUUUAUUUGUUUGGCCUGAACUGUGGUCUGAGAGCCAUCUCAGGGUACUUUAUCCACAAAAUCUUAUCACUCUUUAAAAAUUCUGCCCCCUAAGCCUGUCUCUGGCAGCAGUAGAUCGUGUGAUUCUUCUCAAAUCCAGCUGAAAUACCUGGGUGUCAGUGGAAGGCUGCCCAGGGGACAGAGUCCAUGGUGAGUCAGAGAAGAACCAGGGACACAGAAUCCAGCCAUAUCUGGGUCAGGACACACCCACAGUGUACUGUAUGUGUCCUGGUACUAACAGCUCCCAUGAAGGGGACCCCAAAUCUUCAUCUAUUGUGAUGAUUAGACCCUCUGAAGACCCUGAUCUGUCCUCUGGCUCCAUGUUUAGCAACUCUGGCUCCGUGACCAUCACUGGGCUGAGAACUGAGGACGAGGCUACUCCUUACUGACCAUCUUGUGACAGCAUCUCAGGGCUCACACAGAGCCCCAGGCUCAUGGGAACUAAGGUCAAACCCCUUUGUCAUCUGCUGGGAGGCAGAGGCCCCACCAGCUGCUCGGCCUCAUCUUAAGGCUUCUGCUUCUGCUGCUCCUGUUGCUGCCACCAUGGGCCCAGGUCCCUCCGGGAGCAUCACCUGGGAGUGAAGGCUUCUCCUUCCCUUCUGUUCCCAACGUCACUCACAGCAGCCCCUUCCUAGACAAAAGAUCUCAAAGGACACAGAA